CUAGAUAUCCAAUCCUUUCACUCAUUGCAAAGGAUAUCUUUGCAAUUCCAAGCUCAACAGUUGCUAGUGAAUCCGCUUUUAGCUUGGGUAAAAGGGUUGUGGAUCCUUUUAGGACCAGCUUGAGUCCAAAAAUGGUAGAGGCAUUGGUGUGCACGAAUGAUUGGCUCAAAGCAGAUAAGUUUAGCUUAUAUAAGGAUCCAACUGAUGAUGACCUUGAUUUGUAUAAAGAAAUUGAAGAAAUUGAAAAGAAUGCACACAUGAGUCAAGAUGAUUCUCAAGUUUUAUCUACUACUUGAUCCAACAAACGAUGAGGGUCAUCUUCAACGAUUUUUUGUGGAAUUUUGAGAAAUGAAGACAACGAGGUUGCAAGAAAUGAAGAUAAUGUUGUUGAUCGUGACUUCAUAAAUUGUUUUGGAUUUGAAUGUUGAAGUUUUAUUAAUUUGAAUGCUAUGAACAAGAUUUGAUUGUGAUGAAGUUUUAUUGUUUUGGGCUUUUUUAAAUAGUUGAA